AAAACUUUCAACAACGGAUCUCUUGGUUCUCGCAUCGAUGAAGAACGCAGCGAAUUGCGAUAAGUAAUAUGAAUUGCAGAUUUUCGUGAAUCAUCGAAUCUUUGAACGCACAUUGCGCCCUUUGGUAUUCCAAAGGGCAUGCCUGUUUGAGCGUCAUUUCUCUC
rnacentral:rRNA from 2 species